GGAUGCCCAGACAACUAGGAGGUUGGCUCAGAAGCAGCCAUCCUUUAAAGAGUGCGUAACAGCUCACUAGUCGAGUGACCCUGCGCCGAAAAUGUACCGGGGCUAAGCCAGGUACCGAAGCUGCGGAUAUUCCUAGAAUAUGGUAGGGGAGCGUUGCAUGUGGGGUGAAGCCGUAUCGUGAGGAGCGGUGGACAGCAUGGAAGUGAGAAUGCCGGUGUGAGUAGCGAGAUGUAGGUGAGAAUCCUACACACCGAAAGCCCAAGGAUUCCAGGGGAAGGUUCGUCCGCCCUGGGUAAGUCGGGACCUAACGCGAGGCCGAAAGGCGUAGUGGAUGGAAAGCAGGCGAAAGAUUCCUGCACCCGUAUAUGGAGCGAAGGAGUGACGGAGACGGAUAGUGUGACCCUCUUAAUGGAUUGAGGGCGAAGCGAGGUAACUGGUGACCAGGCAAAUCCGGUCACUGCAAGGUGAAGACGUAACAGGUAAGUGAAAGAGCGAUCGAGUAGCGAAGCAUGUGAUGCCAGCUUCCAAGAAAAGCUUCUAGCAAUGCAUAUACGGCCCGUACCAAAACCGACACAGGUGGGCAGGGAGAGUAUCCCGAGGUGAGCGAGAGAACUGUUGCCAAGGAACUCGGCAAAAUGGCUCCGUAAGUUAGCAAGAAGGAGCGCUCGAAAGAGCCGCAGUGAAAAGGCCCAAGCGACUGUUUAACUAAAACAUAGCUCUCUGCGAAGCCGCAAGGCGAAGUAUAGGGGGUGACACCUGCCCGGUGCUGGAAGGUUAAGAGGAUCUGUGAAUCGCAAGAGGAAGCAGUGAGUUGAAGCCCCAGUGAACGGCGGCCGUAACUAUAACGGUCCUAAGGUAGCGAAAUUCCUUGUCAGGUAAGUUCUGACCCGCAUGAAAGGCGUAAUGAUUUGGGCACUGUCUCAACAGCCCGCCCGGCGAAAUUGUAGUACCGGUGAAGAUGCCGGUUACCCGCGACAAGACGGAAAGACCCCAUGGAGCUUUACUGUAGCCUGAUAUUGGGUUUCGGUGUUGCAUGCACAGGAUAGAUGGGACGCUGGGAAAGAAGCGCUUUGGCGUUUCUGGAGCGGACGUUGGGAUACCAUCCUUGCGACAUUGGAAUUCUAACCUGCGCCUCUGAAUCGAGGCGGGGGACAUUGUCAGGUGGGCAGUUUGACUGGGGCGGUCGCCUCCUAAAAAGUAGCGGAGGCGUUCAAAGGUUCGUUCGAUCUGGACGGAAACCAGAUGAUUGAGUGCAAACGCAUAAACGAGCCUGACUGCGAGACUGACGGGUCGAGCAGAGACGAAAGUCGGAGUUAGUGAUCCGGUGGUAUGUGAGUGGAAAUGCCAUCGCUCAACGGAUAAAAGUUACCCUGGGGAUAACAGGCUGAUCUCCCCCAAGAGUCCACAUCGACGGGGAGGUUUGGCACCUCGAUGUCGGCUCAUCGCAUCCUGGGGCUGAAUUCGGUCCCAAGGGUUUGGCUGUUCGCCAAUUAAAGCGGUACGCGAGCUGGGUUCAGAACGUCGUGAGACAGUUCGGUCCCUAUCUGUCGUGGGCGCAGGAUAUUUGAAAGGCGCUGUCCCUAGUACGAGAGGACCGGGAUGGACGAACCUCUGGUGCACCAGUUGUCACGCCAGUGGCACAGCUGGGCAGCUAUGUUCGGAUCGGAUAAACGCUGAAAGCAUCUAAGCGUGAAGCCGGCCUUAAGAUAAGAUAUCCCACUGAGUCAAUCAGGUAAGACCCCUUGAAGACUACAAGGUUGAUAGGCACACAGUGUAAGCGGAGUGAUCCGUUCAGCUAGCGUGUACUAAUAGGUCGAGGGCUUGACCC
rnacentral:rRNA from 1 species